CCCUCGCGGUCCCGUCCAGCAGCGAGGGAUCGGGCGCCGGGAACCGCAGCACAGCGGACCCCCACCCCGCCGGAGAUUGCCCCUCCCAGACCUCCAGCGUCGCAAACCGGCUCCGCACAGGCCGGCGGAGCGCCCCCGACAGACGCCGGGCCGGGCCUCCAGCUCCGCGCUGGUCGGAGGGUGGCCGCCAACCCCCUACUGGGACACCGGUCGGCCUUGGACCACCGCCGGACCCCAGAUCCAGGGCCUGCACCUUGGACUUCCUGCUCCACAAAGGCCAGCCGCUGACUCACAGGGAGAGUUCCUGGGACCCCUGCCCACCUCCAUGCAACCUCUCAGUGGGCUCCCUGCAGAGCCGUCAGAGGCCCGUGUGCCCUGACCCACCUAGGAACCUUAAACCAAGGUCUCCUGCCCUGACCCACCUAGGAACCUUAAACCAAGGUCUCCUUGGACCCCAAGCCGGGCAGAGGCCAACCACUGAUGCGCACUGACAUUCCCGUGGCCCUACCUGAGCCUGGGGACCUUACAUCUAAUCUUAACUGCACUUGAACCUACUCCCAUAAGAGGACAAAGCACCACCCCACAGUCAGCCCCAGAGUCACCCACGCAGUAGCAGGUCCCCACCUUGGAUGCCCCACUGAGCAGGGGACUCCCACCCCCCAACACCCAGAGCCCCGUGGGUGCCCCUGGACUUAGGGAACCAGAUCCCAAGGUCUCUGGUUUGGUCUCCCCCCUGGAGAAAAGGCAACCUUCACAUCCAACUGAGCGUGCCCUGGACCUCCGCCCACCACCACCCAAGCUGUAUGCAUGGGGAAUCCAGCCCCACUCCCCCUCCUACAGGACCCCACCCACGUGUGCAUGGGGAAUCCAGCCCCACUCCCCCUCCUACAGGACCCCACCCACGUGUGCAUGGGGAAUCCAGCCCCACUCCCCCUCCUACAGGACCCCACCCACGUGUGCAUGGGGAAUCCAGCCCCACUCCCCCUCCUACAGGACCCCACCCACGUGUGCAUGGGGAAUCCAGCCCCACUCCCCCUCCCACAGGACCCCACCCACGUGUGCAUGGGGAAUCCAGCCCCACUCCCCCUCCUACAGGACCCCACCCACGUAUGCAUGGGGAAUCCAGCCCUGAGCUUUCCCUUGACGUUCCCCGAGUUCUCUUGUGCCUGUGGCCCUCGGCACCUCUGGCUGGAAGGGGCUACUACCUGGUAGAAGAGAAAUGCCUCGUCCCACUCACCGUGCACCCCACCACCGCACGGCCCUCUCAAGCCACCUUGGACACCUCCCAUUGCUGCCGAGCGACCAUGGCCCUGACCCGCUCCCUGACUCUGGGCCCCAGCCACCAGAAAGGGAAGGACCAGCCCCGGCAGCCCCUCCCGCCCAACAGCAGUUCAAUCGCUCUGUGAGACUGGCGGAAGGCAGGAAAUGGGACAGGGAGAGCGACCUGGACCCAAAGAAGUGGGGCCUCCUGACCCAGACAGGGGAAAUCCAAGGCCACCAGCGCAGGCGGGACUCGGCCUUCCAUGGUCGGGGCUCUGACUCAGAAACGGCAGCGCCUCAUGGCCGGUGCUUGGAGCCGUGCGUGGCGUGGUCCCCCGGGAGGGUCACCGUGCCGAGGUGCUGAUGGGCCUCUGGCCUGGAGACCUUUGCUCUUCUGGUGGUAUAUCACCUGAGGAGUCUUCGUCUUCUGGGGAGGGCUUAGAACAGGACAAGGACAGGAGAGCUGUCCACAGGCAGGAAACUCGUGGAUAAACUUUGGAGGAAUUUGACAGAAAGCUUAAAUUUAUGAAGACAGUUUUUCACAGAAAGAGGGAAAUUAAUAAAAAUCUAUUCAAGAAAGUGUCUGAACUGAAGGAUUUGCUCGGAAUGUCUGAAGAAAACCAAAGGAGGAAAAAUCUAUUCCACUUGUCACGGAAGGACACCAUUUAAAGAACUCGCCAGAGAACAGACGUCCCGGGACGCGGCUGGAGAGGAGGGAGCCUGCGAGCACGUCCCAGGGGGAGCCGUGGGCCCUGAGCGCAGAGGGGUCCUUGGCAGAGCUCCUCCAGGUCAAGGACAGGUUCCCCCGCCUGGAAGGGGAGGGGGAGGCAUUACAAGAACAGGCCGAGCGUUGGGGUGGGAAGGAGGCCCAGGUCCGAGAGCUGGAGAGCUUCUUCCUUAAGAUGUGGGGCUUCCUGGAAGCUUUUGCACCAGGGCCGUUUUCACGGUACGAAGGCCUGGCACCCCUGUGCACCCCACCCUGGGAGGGGGGCCUAGAAGCGGGGUAGAGGUGCUUCACCACGUAUAGGAGUUUUGAAUAAACCGCGUUGGAAGGGGACGGAAGUGUUCCCGGUGAUGGGGACACCAGGGGUCGCGGUCGCUCCCCCCGACACGUGUGCUCACAGCCUCCAGCUGAUUGGGUCCCAACUGGGUCUGAACUGCAGACCCACCAACACUCAAAGCCAGCGCCGAGCCGGGCGCUGUUCUGAGGGGCAGCAAACCAAGCAGAGGGCCCGGACCCAGGGAUUCCAACAAAGACCGUUUCUGGCCCAAGGCCUCCCAGCCAGUUUGUGGCAAAACUUGGGUUUGGACCUUGGCGUUACAGCAGCAGGUGCCGGUCUGAUGCAGGUCUCUGAUGAGCAAAUGUGAGGGGUUCCGACUUGCCGAGAAGGGACCGGGAGGUCUGGUUACCCCACCGUCCGGCCUGGCAACCCUCCAGGUCUCAUCUGCUAUGACACAGCUCACCGGGACCGCGCCGAAGCGUGUUCUCCAGGAAGCGUUCGUCUGAACGUCUGCUCUAGGUUCUCUGGGGCUUCUCCCUAGGAGUGGAACUCUGGGUCCCGCGUGUCACUUUCUGAGCAGCCACCAGCACGGUGUCCACAGCAGCGUCACCAUUUGCAUCCCUACUUGCGCAGUGGGAGGGUUCCCGCCUCUCCACACCCUCACUAACACUCGCUAUUUUCUGUUUGGGGAUUAUUUUGUUGUUUGAAGUGGCAUCUCACUGUCGGUGUUUUGUUUUGUUUUGUUUUGUUUUUUUUCUCACUGUGGUUUUGAUUUGCGUUUUCCUAGUGACUGAGGUGGGAGGUAAGACUUCUCCUUUAUCCCCUUAGCCUUCGCUGGACUGACACAGGACAGAGCAGCAGGAGAAAAGCAGACACAUUUUAUUUAAUAAAAUGUUAUGUGUACGUGGGAGUCCUCACAGGACAAUGACGCCCUGAGAGGUGGUGAGGGCCAGGUGUUUAUAAAGUAGGUUGAACAAGGAGUGGCAACUGUGGGACAGAAGGGGGAGUAUCUGGGGGAUGGAAGGAAAAUACGAGGGAUUUAACGAGGUCUGCUCGCAGGGUCCUCGCCUGGCAACCCGCCUCUGGUGACGAGUGUGUCUUCUCGGUGCAGGGAGGAUGUCCUCCACGUCGAGUCUCACCUCUGCCUUCAGGAGGAAAAGGGGAGUCAGAGCACCCUUCCUGCACCUGCUGUUUUGCAAGCGCCUUUAACACAAGAUAACCAAUGUGCCAAAGCAGCGCAGCACGGAGCGGCACGUCCUGAGCCCCUGCCCUAGCCAUGCUGAGCAUCCUUUCACGAGCUCAUCGCCGUUCGUGUAUGUUCUAUGGGGAAAAGUCUGUUCAAGUGCUUUGUCCAUUUCUUUAGAUUCCACAUAUAAGUGAUAUCAUAGUAUUUGUCUUUCUCUGUCUGACUUAUCAGCAUAAUGCCCUCCAAGUCCAACCAUGUUGCUGCAAGAGGCAUUAUUUCAUUCUGUUUUAUGGCUGAGUAAUAUCCCAUUGUGUAUACGUACCACAUCUUCUUUAUCUCUUCAUCUGUUGAUCGACACUUAGGUUGCUUCCACGCCUUGGCUACUGUGAAUAGUGCUGCUAUGAACAUUGGGGUGCACGUAUCUUUUCGACUUAGUGUGUUUGUUUUUUUCAGAUAUAUACUCAGGAGUGGGAUUGCUGGGUCACAUGGUAGCUCUAUUUUUAGUUUCUUAAGGACCCUCCGUACUGUUCUCCACAGUAGCUGCACCAGUUUACAUUCCCGCCAACAGUGCACGAGGGUUCCCUUUUCUCCACACCCUCUCCAAUGUCUGUGUUCUUUUUCAUAGCAGCCGUUCUGACAGGUGUGCUGUGAUAUCUCAUUGUGGUUUUGAUUUUAAUGCAACUUUCUGAAGCUGUGAAUUUUACUGCACUCUUCUAUUUUUACUGUUCUCUAGAAAUUCUGUGCUCUGUACCUAGCUUCUCUUUGGCUCCAGAGAGAGGCUUUGCCGUUUCUGGGCGGAAACACUCUUUUCUCCUAGCUUGGGUGCGACGUGAUCGAGAAAGUCGCUCGUCCUGUUUCUGCUCUGCAUGCCCCGCUGUCUCCUUUGCAGCCUGCUGGGUGGGCCGUCUCAGCAGCGCCUCUCCUGUGAGUGCCUGGAUUAUCUUCUGGGCUCGGUUCUUGAGAGUUUGGGACAGGGUGGGGCCAUUUCACUAACGUGACCCCGAGUAAGAAGAAAACUCUUUACACCGCCUGGGCGGCCUCAUGCCACAGACGAUCUACUCUCCACCCCGGUUACCGUUUUCUCCUUCCCAGCACCCGUUUCCAUAAUUAAACCAUGGGGGUAGGAGUGUCUCCAGGCAGAUUUACCAAGACACCGAUUGCGUCCUUUCGGAGGGGGCCGCACGUUGGGGAGGA